rnacentral:rRNA from 1 species
GACGAACGCUGGCGGCGUGCUUAACACAUGCAAGUCGAACGGAAAGGCCCUGCUUUUGUGGGGUGCUCGAGUGGCGAACGGGUGAGUAACAUGUGAGUAUCCUGCCCUUGACUUUGGGAUAACUUCAGGAAACUGGGGCUAAUACCGGAUAGGAGCUCCUGCUGCAUGGGGGGGGUUGGAAAGUUUCGGCGGUUGGGGAUGGACUCUCGGUUUAUUAGCUUGUUGGUGGGGUAGUUGCUUACCAAGGCUUUGGCGGGUAGCCGGCCUGGGAGGGUGACCGGCCACAUGGGUACUGAGAUACGGCCCAGACUGGUACGUGAGGCAGCAGUGGGGAGUAUGGCACAAUGGGCGGAAGCCUGAUGCAGCAACGCCGCGUGCGGGAUGACGGCCUUCGGGUUGUAAACCGCUUUAACCUGUGACGAAGCGUGAGUGACGGUAAUGGGUAAAGAAGCACCGGCUAACUACGUG